GAGAAAUGAUGACAUAUCUGAACAUUCUUCAUACCAUGUGGAGACAUGAGAUCCAACUCUGAGCUCACCGUGUUG